rnacentral:rRNA from 2 species
GGGUUGUGAGGUUAAGCGACUAAGCGUACACGGUGGAUGCCCUGGCAGUCAGAGGCGAUGAAGGGCGUGCUAAUCUGCGAUAAGCGCCGGUAAGGUGAUAUGAACCGUUAUAACCGGCGAUACCCGAAUGGGGAAACCCAGUGUGAUUCGUCACACUAUCAUUAACUGAAUCCAUAGGUUAAUGAGGCGAACCGGGGGAACUGAAACAUCUAAGUACCCCGAGGAAAAGAAAUCAACCGAGAUUCCCCCAGUAGCGGCGAGCGAACGGGGAGGAGCCCAGAGCCUGAAUCAGCAUGUGUGUUAGUGGAAGCGUCUGGAAAGGCGCGCGAUACAGGGUGACAGCCCCGUACACAAAAGCGCAUGUGCUGUGAGCUCGAUGAGUAGGGCGGGACACGUGGUAUCCUGUCUGAAUAUGGGGGGACCAUCCUCCAAGGCUAAAUACUCCUGACUGACCGAUAGUGAACCAGUACCGUGAGGGAAAGGCGAAAAGAACCCCGGCGAGGGGAGUGAAAAAGAACCUGAAACCGUGUACGUACAAGCAGUGGGAGCACAGGUUUACCUGUGUGACUGCGUACCUUUUGUAUAAUGGGUCAGCGACUUAUAUUCUGUAGCAAG